UCUCCUCACCGGCGGCCGCUGCUGCAAACUUGCGCGCGCCGCACGGCCAACAAACCGGCGGCUGCUGUCGCGGCGAACAAGCGAGCGAGCUGAUUGUGCUGCACGCGCCGUCGUCCACUACUCGCGGCGGGGCUUUUUCCUGCUGGCAAACUCGUGCUUCCCCGACGCAGGCCACGCAGCGCAGACUCUCCAGAGAGCGAUCGGCUGGAUUACGCGCACCUCCUCCGUCCCCGCACGAGAAACGCUGUCAGCGGUCUUGUGCAACCUACUGUGCGUUCUAUCCGUUUUCUUGAUUCGACGCGGUUUCCUGAAUUCGCUGGUGCUUCUGACCCCGUGUUUGUUGCUUAGUGCUGGUGCUUUUUGAUUGUGACUUGAGGGGGCUGGAAGGCCCGCAUCGGUCGUCAAGCGCCGGCGUGCCCUGAGGAGAGGAUUGUGCGCUGGGCUCCCGGAAAAGGGAGUUGCAAGUUCGGUAUUCGCCGACCGUAGGCGGCCGCACGCUGGUCGUCAGAGCACUGUGAGCCGAGCUCCGACAAGACGGAUCAGAACUCGGUACGGAGUAACCACACGGUUCGCGGGUCAAGAUGGCCACGGCAGCGAGAACACCACUCGGCGGGAGCUGUUCGAGGUAUCGUCGCCACUUGGUCCGGACGGUGCAGUGACGUCAUACGGGACACCAUGAGCCUAGUACCGCGCACUUCCGAAGAGCCAGCGUCCCAGCGGCUGCCCAGACAUGCACUUCUCGGGCUGUUCAGAGCGUCGAUACUCUGCGUCACAAUGUUCCUGGUCGCCGCCUCGGCGCACAUCACAAUACGGG
rnacentral:lncRNA from 1 species